GUUUGGGACCAUGAGACCUCCCACUCCUGGGGCCAGAAGGAGUUGCUGAGAAGGAGCUGUGGUUCUGACCUUCAGGGGAAUUCCCACGUCUGUAUGGUGGCUCGUGAAGAGCAUGGUUCCUUUUCUCAGCCCUCUUGAGGGGCGAGGAUGCUGAGGACUGAAGUCGGUGGGGCUUGAUGCAUGUGGGCCUGCUCUCUGUCAUGUGAUGCUAUACUACAGCCAGGCUGGAAUUUGGUGUCUUAUUGCUACAAAGAAUCAGCUUUGUCAAUCCUAAGGUCACUGAGAGGCUGCCAGAGGGCCAUUUUCAUGACCAGAGGGAUCUGUUCAACACCCUGUGGGUCCCAGCACCUAUCUCAGGAAGCAGGGUGCAUCUGUCCACCACCAAGUCUCAGGGUGGCUGGGUGAGCGCUCAUCAGUCCCAGACAGCAGGUUGGCACAAAACGACACUGCCCACAAAACCACAGGAAGAAGAGAAACUCCGACUGUCUUUCAGCACACAGAAGACACUGUACUGGACCCGGACAUUAGGCAGACACCCACGCCUGACUUUCAGGAGAAAAGAGAACAUGACUAACGGAUAUUCUUAGUAGAUGGUUUAUUAGAAAAGAGAACAUCUUCCAGCAUGUGUCCUGGGGUGAUGGGUGUGGGAAGCACUCAGUCCAUAGUCCUGGUCCCUGGCUUCCCCAAGCCCAGCACCAUGAAUGUACAGUGGAAAGCAGAGGGUGCAGCGUCUCAGAAAGAUGCUUCCACUCACAAGGAUUGGAGCUCACAAGUGAGCUCCAUAACCUGCAAACCAGAGAAACCUGAGACACUGCCCCUUGGCCAUUUUAUCAACGGAGACUUUAUUGUGAUUAUCCCGGCAGGGGGCCGAGCUCUCCUCUCUGCAACAGGAAAUGCUCUUUAGUGAAAAUGCAGCAUUUCUCCAAGGGUAACAAAGCUGAACGCCUGCUUAGCUUAUGAACCCUCAGUUGGCCUAGGUGGUGCAAAGACCCUGCUGUUACUGCUUUGAUCAUCAGUACUGUGGACUGUACCAGGAGAUCCCUGGGAAUGUGCUCUGGGCGGAAGCAGCUUUUAUCUUUGGCCCUCACCCAUGCUUUAUAUGGUGAGGUUGGGAAAAUGGCACAAGGCUUCUCCUGAACCUCAAAUCAACACCCUUGCCCCAUUUAGAUCCUAUCUGGCUGUUUCUUGCUAAUAUUACUGCAUCACUGCACCAUCUUUCCUAUUUCAGCAAAGUGGAGUCAUGUGUGGUUUAUGGGGUAGAUGGACCCCAAAACUGAUAAUAUGAAUCAAGCUAUGGUGUUUACUCCCUAGGAAAUGCACAAUUUUUCUGGAAACCUACAGAAGCUUCAAAUGCAUUCGCCAUGCAAAGCUAAGUCAGCAGAACAACCCGUUUGGCUUUGGAGGCUAGUUCAGUUCCGCGGACAGGGAGAAAGAUGAGGCAGACUGUGGUUUUUCAGUUCCUGGAGCUUACGGAGCUCCAAAGCUCCCUCUCUUCCCACCCUGGCUGCACUGUUCUUAAUUUUAGAUAAUACCCUGCCUUCUCGUAUUGCUGCUGAGCUCCUAGCAUCCUCAGUUUAUCUGUCUGUGAAAUGAAAAAUCUAAUGUUAAAUUUUUUACCUAUGGCAUGAGAGAGAUGGCUAUGGCUCUUGUGAGCCUCUCUGCAGCCCCUCUUUUCCUUCAAUCACCCUCUGUCUCUCCUGCCUUCUGCUUAUUCUCUCUCUCCCCUCAUCCCCACUUUCCCAGUGGGUCCUCUGUUCUCUUUUUUUUUUUCUUUUUAAAUCUCUCUAUGCCUCCAGCCGAGAAGAUAAAGAGUGUACAUCUUUCUGGUUAAAAAGUUUUGCUUUGCAGAAACACAGCCAAUUUAUGAUUCUGGCCUUCCCAGCUAGGGACAGUGUUCAUUUACAUUUAGGACCAUGAGGAGAGAGGCUUAGCUGUGUGUUUCUGAGGCCGGAGAAAAUUACAGUGAUAUAUAACAGUGCUGCACUCAUAGAGGUGCUGAGCCGGGGUUGGGCUCAGGCGGCCGCUAAGCUCAGAGUGGAAAGUUUCAGAGGGGAGGCAGAAAGGAGAGGUCUAUAGCUCCUCCAGAUUCUAGGUAUUAAUUUACUAAGAUAUUCCUAAGCCAGAAAACAGAGACAGAAGACAAAGAGAAAGAGGGAAGAAGAGCAAGACAGAGAGUUAGAGAGAGACAAAGAGAGAGAGUUAGAGACAAAGAGAGAGUGGAGAGGAGAGAGAGCAAAUAUUG
rnacentral:lncRNA from 1 species